rnacentral:rRNA from 1 species
UGAUCCUGGCUCAGGACGAACGCUGGCGGCGUGCYUAAUACAUGCAAGUCGAGCGAACCAYUUCGGUGGUUAGCGGCGGACGGGUGAGUAACACGUGGGCAACCUGCCUGUAAGACUGGGAUAACUUCGGGAAACCGGAGCUAAUACCGGAUAAUCCUUUUCCUCUCAUGAGGGAAAGCUGAAAGACGGUUUCGGCUGUCACUUACAGAUGGGCCCGCGGCGCAUUAGCUAGUUGGUGAGGUAACGGCUCACCAAGGCGACGAUGSGUAGCCGACCUGAGAGGGUGAUCGGCCACACUGGGACUGAGACACGGCCCAGACUCCUACGGGAGGCAGCAGUAGGGAAUCUUCCMCAAUGGMCGAAAGUCUGAUGGAGCAACGCCGCGUGAGCGAUGAAGGCCUUCGGGUCGUAAAGCUCUGUUGUUAGGGAAGAACAAGUACCGGAGUAACUGCCGGUACCUUGACGGUACCUAACCARAARGCCACGGCUAACUACGUGCCAGCAGCCGCGGKRAUASYKUWCG